rnacentral:rRNA from 1 species
AAUGACUCUCGGCAACGGAUAUCUCGGCUCUCGCAUCGAUGAAGAACGUAGCGAAAUGCGAUACUUGGUGUGAAUUGCAGAAUCCCGUGAACCAUUGAGUCUUUGAACGCAAGUUGCGCCCGAAGCCUUUUGGCCGAGGGCACGUUUGCCUGGGCGU